rnacentral:rRNA from 1 species
UCUUUAAAAAUCUGGAUCAAGCUGAAAAUUGAAACACUGAACAACGAAAGUUGUUCGUGAGUCUCUCAAAUUUUCGCAACUCUGAAGUGAAACAUCUUCGGGUUGUGAGGUUAAGCGACUAAGCGUACACGGUGGAUGCCCUGGCAGUCAGAGGCGAUGAAGGACGUGCUAAUCUGCGAUAAGCGUCGGUAAGGUGAUAUGAACCGUUAUAACCGGCGAUUUCCGAAUGGGGAAACCCAGUGUGUUUCGACACACUAUCAUUAACUGAAUCCAUAGGUUAAUGAGGCGAACCGGGGGAACUGAAACAUCUAAGUACCCCGAGGAAAAGAAAUCAACCGAGAUUCCCCCAGUAGCGGCGAGCGAACGGGGAGCAGCCCAGAGCCUGAAUCAGUGUGUGUGUUAGUGGAAGCGUCUGG